GCUGACUACCAGUGGGGAAGGAUCUCUUCUGGAGAUCCACUCUACUGGAGUUUCAUAAGUAAGCCCAGGAUACGGGAGAAGGGACAGGGACAAAUUGACUGGAUUGCCUACAUCUUUGCAGUUGGUUAGUGGCAAAAGCAGCAAGCCAAUCUAAGAGUCUUAAAUUAUGAUCACUUAGAAGAUGGAUCACCACUUGGAAAGAGCCACAAUAUUGAGUCUUUGUCUCUGCAUGCUGGAAUGGGGCCUCGCUCUUUUGUUCUGCCUAUCUGCUAAGUUUCCCCACCCCAGGCAAGAAAACAGAAAACAUUUGCUGCUGAGAGAAUAUCACCUUGAAGAUAAUUUUCUUUCUUCCCAGAAUGAGUUAUCUAAAUAUUACUGCCAUAGCAUUUGGCCAUUUUAAGGUUUGCAGGGCUAUAAAACUUUUGAUCAUCCCAAGGAGGGGGGACGAGCUGAAGGACAUCUCUUCUUUUUGAUGAAGCACAGAGGAAAAAGAACAGCAUAACAGAAAGACUAUUUAUAGAGGCUGCUUGCCAAGUCAAAGCCCAGGCCUUUAAUUACAUUUGUGCACGAUGUGGCCGCAUUUAAUAAAGGUCUAGAUGCAGUAUCAUCUUCUAUUUGACUUAUUAGCGUUUGCCUUUUCUCUGUAAAAUCUGGCACCUGUUGAUGUGAUUGACCAUGAGUACGAGUGCAGAUAGAUCAGGGCUGAAAGUCACUCAAUGUCACAAGCUCAUUUAACGUAACCCUUCUAAAACUGUCAUAGUUCUGCCUACUUGUGGAGCAUUCACUGGUGAUUGCAGGUUGCUUUGUGUCCUCAGAGUGCCGUGGUUAGAUAGGUAGGCUAUGGUACCUUAUGGGACUAUGAUGUGGGUGGCAGCUGUUAGGGGUUUAAGUAUGAGAACUGAUCAGUCUCUUUUGGAGCAUUUUGUUGUGGUCAGGGUUUGAUU